rnacentral:rRNA from 1 species
CUCAGGAUGAACGCUGGCGGCGUGCCUAAUACAUGCAAGUCGAGCGAACAGACGAGGAGCUUGCUCCUUUGACGUUAGCGGCGGACGGGUGAGUAACACGUAGGUAACCUACCUAUAAGACUGGGAUAACUUCGGGAAACCGGAGCUAAUACCGGAUAAUAUUUCGAACCGCAUGGUUCGAUAGUGAAAGAUGGCUUUGCUAUCACUUAUAGAUGGACCUGCGCCGUAUUAGCUAGUUGGUAAGGUAACGGCUUACCAAGGCAACGAUACGUAGCCGACCUGAGAGGGUGAUCGGCCACACUGGAACUGAGACACGGUCCAGACUCCUACGGGAGGCAGCAGUAGGGAAUCUUCCGCAAUGGGCGAAAGCCUGACGGAGCAACGCCGCGUGAGUGAUGAAGGUCUUCGGAUCGUAAAACUCUGUUAUUAGGGAAGAACAAACGUGUAAGUAACUGUGCACGUCUUGACGGUACCUAAUCAGAAAGCCACGGCUAACUACGUGCCAGCAGCCGCGGUAAUACGUAGGUGGCAAGCGUUAUCCGGAAUUAUUGGGCGUAAAGCGCGCGUAGGCGGUUUUUUAAGUCUGAUGUGAAAGCCCACGGCUCAACCGUGGAGGGUCAUUGGAAACUGGAAAACUUGAGUGCAGAAGAGGAAAGUG